GAACGCUAGCGACAGGCCUAACACAUGCAAGUCAGGGGCAGCACAAGGAGCAAUCUGAGGUGGCGACCGGCGCACGGGUGAGUAACACGUAUGCAACCUGCCUGUAAGCGGGGAAUAACCCGUUGAAAGACGGACUAAUACCGCAUAAUACUAAAUUACUGCAUGGUAAUUUAUUUAAACAUUUAUGGCUUACAGAUGGGCAUGCGCAUGAUUAGCUAGUUGGAGAGGUAACGGCUCCCCAAGGCAACGAUCAUUAGGGGUUCUGAGAGGAAGGUCCCCCACACUGGUACUGAGACACGGACCAGACUCCUACGGGAGGCAGCAGUGAGGAAUAUUGGUCAAUGGACGAGAGUCUGAACCAGCCAAGUCGCGUGCAGGAAGAAUGUCCUUAAUGGAUUGUAAACUGCUUUUGCAGGGGAAUAAAGUGCAUCACGUGUGAUGUUUUGUAUGUACUCUGCGAAUAAGGAUCGGCUAACUCCGUGCCAGCAGCAGC
rnacentral:rRNA from 1 species